rnacentral:rRNA from 1 species
GACGAACGCUGGCGGCGUGCUUAACACAUGCAAGUCGAGCGGUAAGGCCCUUCGGGGUACGACGAGCGGCGAACGGGUGAGUAACACGUGGGUGACCUGCCUCUAGCUCUGGGAUAAGCCUGGGAAACUGGGUCUAAUACCGGAUAUGACUCCACGGCGCAUGUUGUGGGGUGGAAAGCCUUGUGUGGCUAGAGAUGGGGCCCNCGGCCUAUCAGCUUGUGGUGGGGUGAUGGCCACCAAGGCGACGACGGGUAGCCGGCCUGAGAGGGCGACCGGCCACACUGGGACUGAGACACGGCCCAG